rnacentral:misc_RNA from 1 species
AGCAAUAUCAGUUAUGUCUGCUGUGAGUGGGCUGCAAGGUAGGGUCCCGGGAUUUGGCACAAAUGCUCUUGUUUUCACUUCAAUCAUCAUCCUUGGUGUAUUGUUCAGUAUACAGCGAUAUGGAUCAAGCAAAGUGGGAUUUACAUUUGCACCUGCCCUGGCUUUAUGGUUCUUCAGUCUAGGUGCUGUAGGAGUUUAUAAUCUUCUGAAGCAUGAUGUAACUGUCUUAAGGGCCUUAAAUCCAUUUUAUAUAUAUCUGUUCUUCAAGAAGAACUCAAUCAAUGGAUGGUCAGCUCUUGGUGGCUGUGUUUUAUGCAUCACAGGAGCGGAAGCAAUGUUUGCUGAUUUAGGUCAUUUCUCUGUGAAGUCUAUACAGAUUGCUUUCACAAGCGUAGUAUUCCCCUGCCUUUUUUUGGCCUACUUCGGCCAAGCUGCUUAUCUAAUGAAAUUCCCAAAUUCAUCUGAGAGAAUAUUUUAUGAUUCUGUGCCAGAUGAUCUCUUUUGGCCAGUUUUUGGGUUAGCAACGGUAGCUGCUAUAAUUGCCAGCCAGGCCAUGAUAUCUGCUUCAUUUUCAUGU